GCUGUGGCUUAGUUGGUUAAAGCCUGUCUAGUAAACAGGGAGAUCCUGGGUUCAAAUCCCAGCGAAGCG
rnacentral:tRNA from 1 species